GUUGGCCAGACUGGUCUUGAACUCCUGACCUCAGAAGAUCCACUCGCCUCAGCCUCCCAAAGUGCUGGGAUUACAGGUGUGAGCCACCGCACCUGGCCUGCAAAUGGCUUUUUGAUGAACCCCAUGUGUGCAGCGUUGCUCCCCAACGUCCCAAGGCUCGCUGGAGAACAUCCCCACUCAGCCAGGAGGAGGCGCUCUGUCCAGGUUUGGAGAGGUGAACACAUUUCCCAGUGGAAAACCAAAGGUGUUCCAGCCAAUGAACCUAAGGAAGGUGAAAGGAAAAGGCUGGAGAGUGGUAGCAUGAUCACUGCUUACUGAAGCCUCAACCUCCUCU